rnacentral:rRNA from 1 species
GGUUUGAAUUAUGGCUCAGGAUGAACGCUGGCGGCGUGCUUAACACAUGCAAGUCGAACGGUGAAGCAGAGCUUGCUCUGUGGAUCAGUGGCGAACGGGUGAGUAACACGUGAGCAACCUGCCCCUGACUCUGGGAUAAGCGCUGGAAACGGCGUCUAAUACUGGAUACGAACAAGAAUCGCAUGGUUACUUGUUGGAAAGAUUUUUUGGUUGGGGAUGGGCUCGCGGCCUAUCAGCUUGUUGGUGAGGUAAUGGCUCACCAAGGCGUCGACGGGUAGCCGGCCUGAGAGGGUGACCGGCCACACUGGGACUGAGACACGGCCCAGACUCCUACGGGAGGCAGCAGUGGGGAAUAUUGCACAAUGGGCGGAAGCCUGAUGCAGCAACGCCGCGUGAGGGAUGACGGCCUUCGGGUUGUAAACCUCUUUUAGCAGGGAAGAAGCGAAAGUGACGGUACCUGCAGAAAAAGCGCCGGCUAACUACGUGCCAGCAGCCGCGGUAAUACGUAGGGCGCAAGCGUUAUCCGGAAUUAUUGGGCGUAAAGAGCUCGUAGGCGGUUUGUCGCGUCUGCUGUGAAAUCCCGAGGCUCAACCUCGGGCCUGCAGUGGGUACGGGCAGACUAGAGUGCGGUAGGGGAGAUUGGAAUUCCUGGUGUAGCGGUGGAAUGCGCAGAUAUCAGGAGGAACACCGAUGGCGAAGGCAGAUCUCUGGGCCGUAACUGACCCUGA